rnacentral:rRNA from 1 species
UACGGGGGGGGCAAGCGUUGUUCGGAAUUACUGGGCGUAAAGGGCUCGUAGGCGGCCAACUAAGUCAGACGUGAAAUCCCUCGGCUUAACCGGGGAACUGCGUCUGAUACUGGAUGGCUAGAGGUUGGGAGAGGGAUGCGGAAUUCCAGGUGUAGCGGUGAAAUGCGUAGAUAUCUGGAGGAACACCGGUGGCGAAGGCGCACAUCUGGCCCGAUACUGACGCUGAAGCGCGAAAGCUAGGGGAGCAAACGGG